CGGAGGAUCCAAGCGUUAUCCGGAAUCAUUGGGUUUAAAGGGUCCGUAGGCGGGUUUAUAAGUCAGUGGUGAAAGCCCAUCGCUCAACGAUGGAACGGCCAUUGAUACUGUAGAUCUUGAAUUAUUAGGAAGUAACUAGAAUAUGUAGUGUAGCGGUGAAAUGCUUAGAGAUUACAUGGAAUACCAAUUGCGAAGGCAGGUUACUACUAAUGGAUUGACGCUGAUGGACGAAAGCGUGGGUAGCGAACAGGAUUAGAUACCCUGGUAGUCCACGCCGUAAACGAUGGAUACUAGCUGUUCGGAGCAAUCUGAGAGGCUAAGCGAAAGUGAUAAGUAUCCCACCUGGGGAGUACGUUCGCAAGAAUG
rnacentral:rRNA from 1 species